GAUGAACGCUGGCGGCGUGCUUAAUACAUGCAAGUCGAACGGACAGGCGCUGCUCUUGUGGGUCUCUCGUGAGGCGAACGGGUGAGUAACACGUGAGUAACCCGCACUUGUCUUUGGGAUAACUCCAGGAAACUGGGGCUCAUAUCCGAUAGGAGCUAUUGAUGCACGGUGGGGGUUGGUAAGAUUCGGCGGUUGGGGAUGGACUCGCGGCUUAUCAGCUUGUUUGUGUGGUAGUGGAUUACCAAGGCAUUGACGGGUAGCCGGCCUGAGAGGGUGACCGGCCACAUUGGGACUGAGAUACGGACCAGACUCCUACGGGAGGCAGCAGUGGGGAAUAUUGCACAAUGGGCGGAAGCCUGAUGCAGCAACGCCGCGUGCGGGAUGACGGCCUUCGGGUUGUAAACCGCUUUCGCCUGUGACGAAGCGUGAGUGACGGUAAUGGGUAAAGAAGCACCGGCUAACUACGUG
rnacentral:rRNA from 1 species